rnacentral:misc_RNA from 1 species
CCGAGUGUAGACUGAUUUAUCAGUUAACCUCCCACCCUUUGUUAUUUUAUACAAUUUGCUUCGGCGGGCCUUUGAACUUGUUCAACAUCGGCUUUGCGGAUGAGCGUCCGCCGAAGAGACAAACUCUUGAAUUUGUAGUCUGAGUUUUACAAACAAAAAUAA